AUGGCACGAGUGUGGGGGGCCACGGCCCCUGCCCGCCUUGCUCUCCUCCUCCUACUGAUGGCCAUGUGUUCCCAGGAGAUUUGUGCUGCUCCGUGGCGAGCACCAGGACCAGGCUGUCUUGGUGGAUUACCAGAGCGAAGUCCUGUCCCUGAGCCUGCGGUGGAUGCCAGAGGUGUGAGUGGAGUUGAGUGGGAUCCAGCUUCCCAGCUGAGCUUCAGGACCGAAGCCCCAGCAACUCGUAUGGGUCCUGAGAGAUUGAGAAAGACACGGGAAAGAGGAAAAUAUCCCCAGACGCUGUCCCAUAUGCUAAUGAAAAUCAUGAAGGACAAGGCAGCGCAUGGUGUGGAUGGUGAAGGACAUGCAAAUGCCACAGAAGAUGAAGAUCUACUGAAGUACUGCCUUGCACUUACUGCGGCUCUCCUGGUUUCCAUGCUGGCAGCGAUGAUUACGUUCUGUCUUGUUAUCCGGCGAUGUAGGCAGAGAAACCAGCACCUUGCUGCAGCUGCUGGAGCCUGGCCCGAUGCCCACGGCCACAACUCGCACUUGGAUGGACAGCCUGCUCUCCUCAAGGUGCCCGACCGACAGACACGGCAUGGACAGCCACCACCUGUGCAGGGACAACCUGCCCUCCUGCCGCAGAGCACCACCAGAGCAGACUCCGCUGGGCCAGACAGCUGCCAGGCUCAGUUGCCCCCGCCUCAGACUCCACGGCCCACCAGCCCAGGCUCCGAGGCCCCCGGGAUGUGUGACAGGCCUAGCAGCCCCCAGGCAUCAACACCGCCCCCCCGUCCCCCUCCACCCUCUUUCAUGGGAUGGAAGAAACCUGCCCGAUUUGGAGGCUUGUGGUCAUCGGUCAGCACCCAAACAACGGCUCCCUGGCCUAUGAGCGACAGGCCCAGCUGUCCCUGGACAUCAACACCACCCCCCCGUCCUCCUCCACCAUCCUUCAGGGAACGGGAACAGCUUCCCCAGGCUGUAGGCUUGACAGCACGGCCCAGUCAACAGACAAUGGGUGCCCAGGGAAGGCACAACAGGCCCAGCAUCCCCCUGUCCACCCAGGCACCGUCACCACCCUCUCACUACCCUCCACAAACCUUCAGGGGAAAGGAGUUGCCCCGCCAGGGUGUAGGCUUGGGGAAAUUUUCCGACAGAUGGACAACUGUGUCCUGGGGGAAGUAUGACAGGCCCAGCAGCCCCCAGUCCCCCCCCCCACCAGCUCUGCCCUCCCCCUCCUCUCCACCAUCCAUCAGGAGGUGGGAGCGGUCCCCCCCAGGGGGUAGAGUUAGGGGCAUCAUGCAACAUCUGUAAAACCACUGCCAGGAGGAAGUAUGACAGACCCAGCAGCACCCAGCCCCCCCCAGCAUCAUCUCUGUCCUCACACUCCUCUCCACCAUUGGUCAGGAGGUGGGAGCACCCCUGGCAUGUGGGUUUAGGGGCAUCAUCUGACAGCCAGAGAACUGCUGCUGGCAUUGACUGGGACUUUCCAGGCUGUGUUGUACCAAUAAGCAGAAAGUAAUACCACAGUUGUCUAUGCUGUACUGUUGUCAUGUUACUACUUUGACCCACUGCCAGACCUUGUGUGCCACUUGGCAUUGGCAGACAGAUAAUAUGUGUGGGAAUGGCUUUAAACUCAAAGAGAGAAAAUUGAGGUAGAUGUGUAGAGGUCAGAGGCAGCAAGGCCUGGCCCAGGGUGCCCAGAGGCUGUGGGUGCCCUGCAUCCUGUCGGAGGAAGGGACAGGGGUGGGAGUACAUUAUGCAAAAGUGCCAGUGCUUCUGCAUGAGGUUUACCAGACAGCAGGCACUGUUCUGCUCUGACUAGUGGGCAAUAAGUUGCUCUGCAAUAGGAACCAAGCAAGAACUGUUAGCACAUUUUCUUCCUCCUCCAUUUCAUUUUGCUCUGUGGGCUGGACUGAGAAUCUGAAAGCGGAGAGAGAUGGGAUGAAGACAGUGCUGCAAGCCUCGUAAAUCUGUUGUCACUGCUCACUCUGUGAUAAGUCGUCUUAUCAGAAGCACAGUCCAUUGUGCUCAGCUGCCAUGAUACCACCCUGCAACUCCUCUCCAGCACCUGUUCUAGGUCACUGAUACCUCAGAAUCGUUCAGGAGGUGCAACAUUCCUGUGUUUUCUCUCAGCUCUUAGCACUGCUGCACUCCUCAGGAGCUAUGGCCACAAACAAAGCAGCUGUCAGUCAGCUGUAAAAGCAUCCCGGUCCUCUGCAAGAGGACAGAGUGUUCCGGUUCUGACAGCUUCCCUCAGCAGCCCAAUAUUGAAAUGGUUUGUGGAGUUCCUUUGUGCAAGCUGCUAAGGACA
ensembl:lncRNA